rnacentral:lncRNA from 8 species
AAUGAUUCCUCUAAUGAUCAUGGUUCUCUCUCUCUCUCUCUGUCUAUCUCUCUCUCCCAGGUAUCCUCUGUAUUGUUGUCCAACUGUCCUCAUAUCUGUGACCCAGGCAUG